rnacentral:rRNA from 1 species
GUGCCAGCCGCCGCGGUAAUACGGAGGGGGCAAGCGUUGUUCGGAGUCACUGGGCGUAAAGCGCAUGUAGGUGGAUGUAUAAGUCAGGAGUCAAAGGCGUCGGCUCAACCGGCGUACGGCUUUUGAAACUAUAUGUCUAGAGUGUCGGAGAGGAAUAUGGAAUUCCCGGUGUAGCUGUAAAGUGCGUAGAUAUCGGAAGGAACACAGGUAGCGAACGCGAUAUUCUGGCCGACAACUGACACUUAGAUGCGAGAGCAUGGGUA